rnacentral:rRNA from 1 species
AAGGUAGCGGCGAGACGAGCCGUUUAAAUAGGUGUCAAGUGGAAGUGCAGUGAUGUAUGCAGCUGAGGCAUCCUAACGAACGAACGAUUUGAACCUUGUUCCUACACGACCUGAUCAAAUCGAUCAGGCACUUGCCAUCUAUCUUCAUUGUUCAACUCUUUGAUGAAAAGAAAAGAUGAAAAAACCAAAAAAAAAGCUCUGCCCUUCCAUCUCUUGGAUAAAUAGAGAGGGAGGGCAG